GGGACGGCAGCCAAGUUGAAUUUCAGGGCUUUCAGAAUCCAACCAGGAGUGCAUAGGCCUAUCCACAUCUUCGACUGACAUGGAUAUCCAGUGAAUGUGGAACUGACCAAAUCUCAUUGUGUUGCCAGCUUUGGAGGCCAAAAAUCUGACCGAAGCAGUUGGCGUGACAGCAAUUUCUCGCCUGGUGUUGCACGGACUGAU